rnacentral:lncRNA from 1 species
UCUAUGACAAACUUUAAUGACUCAUUGUGUGCAGCUUGAAUGAAAAGGCCCGGGGAAUCACCCACAAGCCUAACAUUGGGAUGGCCUAGCAGCACCACCACCCUGGCCUCCUGGAGGCAGGCGGGGAACAGAAAGCCAGCCGAGAGAACAUGUCCAGGUGUGCUGGGCAGAGCACACAUUGCUUAGUGCCAGUGUCACAAGGAUGGUGAUAUUUACACGGGAUGAGGGACGACACACACAGAGAUGUAAGGGUAGGAGCUGACCAGAACAGCCGUGGUAUCUUCAUGACAGCACACACAGGCAAUGCCAUUGGACUGUGGAGGUCCCGUGGUGCUGGGCACAGCUGGGGGCACAGACCCAGGUUGAGGACCCCUGAGACCUCGUGUGCCCAAGUGGAGGGACAAAACUGGGGAUCCAUGAGGACAUAUGUGCAAAAUUGAACGGUGUGAGAACUCUAUUCCAGGGUGUGUAUGUAAGGAGAGGGCACACAUACACGUAUAAGACACACAAAUGGAAACAUGGGAACAUUGGAGCUAGUGAGGAGACCAGAGCAGCAGGUCAGGGACAGGUGCGUGGGUUCAUGCAGCCUGUGCAGAGCCAAUGACAGACCCCGGUGAGAGCCCAGGACCGAGGUCCCACAUUGGAGAGUCCACGGGGGGACAAGGAAGGCCCCAACUGAGGAAGAUCUGAUUCCACUGAAAACACAGGGUCUCCUCUGCUCACACGGGUGUGAGCCCAUGUAUAAACGGUGAAUGUCCAGGCACCAGCUGGAGGAGGCCCAGACAUCUGAUGGAGGAGGCCCAGGCAUCUGAUGGAGGAGGCCUAGGCAUCUGAUGGAGGAGGCCCAAGCAUCUGAUGGAGGAGGCCCAGACAUCUGAUGGAGGAGGCCCAGACAUCUGAUGGAGGAGGCCCAGGCAUCUGAUGGAGGAGGCCUAGGCAUCUGAUGGAGGAGGCCCAGACAUCUGAUGGAGGAGGCCUAGGCAUCUGAUGGAGGAGGCCCAGACAUCUGAUGGAGGAGGCCCAGGUAUCUGAUGGAGGAGGCCUAGGCAUCUGAUGGAGGAGGUCUAGACAGUGGCUGGAAGAGCCUGGGCAUCAGAUGGGUCCUCAGGCCUCA